GUGCUUGCUUUGGCAGCACAUAUACUAAAAUUGGAACAAUACAGAGAGAAGAUGAGCAUGGCCCCUCUGUAAGGAUGACAUGCAAAUUUGUGAAGCGUUUCAUAUUUUU